UACUGAAUUUUCAUUUUAUUCUUACUAGUUCAUCUGUGCGUGUUAUGUUUUGAUUAAUGGAUGGACACUGUAACAAGUACGGUACCGGCACAAGUUAAUUACAAAUCAAUCCACCAAAGCUAUUAGAGAUAACCCGAUAUAAACAUAACGUGGAAGAGCCUAACAAUACCGAAAAUGGAUGAAGUGCUGCAUCACUAUUUGACCUUUCAUAAGUCUGUACCGGCACCGUAAUUCAGAGAUGAAUACAAAUGUAAAGUUAUAUUGCAAGCGGCCAUCACAUCAUUUCGCACUUCACACACUCUUACAUCAACAUGACUGACAGUGAUUCUGAAAACUGGAAUACGGAGGCGGGUCGGGUCAUCCUGCUGCUAGGUCAUACUCAACUGUGAAAGACCAUGCAGAGGCAGAAAAGGACUGUGAUACAGAGAAACUUGGGAAAGAAAAAACGUCAUUUCUCUUAUCUAUUUCAAAGAUGGCAUGUUUUCAUCCAAAGAUGGACACCAGUUGAAAAUGACAUUACCAUAUUUUGUGUGAAUAUAGCACUUGUCAAUAGAGUGGUACAAAUAAAUAAAGACAGAGGCACUGUACUGACAUGCCUUAGUCUCAUUUUUGGUUA